AGAGUUUGAUCCUGGCUCAGAGCGAACGCUGGCGGAAUGCUUAACACAUGCAAGUCGCACGCCCCGGCAACGGGGAGUGGCGGACGGGUGAGCAACGCGUAGGAACAUGUCCGAAGGUGGGGGACAACCCCGGGAAACUGGGGCUAAUACCGCAUAUGGGCCGAGGCCCAAAGCAGCGAUGCGCCUUUGGAGUGGCCUGCGUCCGAUUAGCUUGUUGGCGGGGUAACGGCCCACCAAGGCUACGAUCGGUAGCUGGUCUGAGAGGACGACCAGCCACACCGGGACUGAGACACGGCCCGGACUCCUACGGGAGGCAGCAGUGGGGAAUAUUGGGCAAUGGGCGCAAGCCUGACCCAGCAAUUCCGCGUGGGUGAAGAAGGUCUUCGGAUUGUAAAGCCCUUUCGGCGGGGACGAUGGUGACGGUACCCGCAGAAGAAGCCCCGGCCAACUUCGUGCCAGCAGCCGCGGUAAUACGAAGGGGGCUAGCGUUGCUCGGAAUCAUUGGGCGUAAAGGGCGCGUAGGCGGCUUUGUUAGUCAGGCGUGAAACCCCUGGGCUCAACCCAGGAACUGCGCUUGAUACGGCGAGGCUUGAGGAUGGAAGAGGGCCGCGGAAUUCCCAGUGUAGAGGUGAAAUUCGUAGAUAUUGGGAAGAACACCGGUGGCGAAGGCGGCGGCCUGGUCCAUUUCUGACGCUGAGGCGCGACAGCGUGGGGAGCAAACAGGAUUAGAUACCCUAGUAGUCC
rnacentral:rRNA from 1 species